rnacentral:rRNA from 1 species
UACAGAGGUCUCAAGCGUUGUUCGGAUUCAUUGGGCGUAAAGGGUGCGUAGGCGGCUUGAUAAGUCGGGGGUGAAAGCCUGUGGCUCAACCACAGAAUUGCCUUCGAUACUGUCUGGCUUGAGACCGGAAGAGGUAAGUGGAACUGCGAGUGUAGAGGUGAAAUUCGUAGAUAUUCGCAAGAACACCAGUGGCGAAGGCGGCUUACUGGUCCGGUUCUGACGCUGAGGCGCGAAAGCGUGGGGAGCAAACAGG